rnacentral:rRNA from 1 species
CACUAUGCUCAGCCCUAAAAUUCGAUAGGUCACUACGCCCCCUAUCCGCCCGGGUACUACGAGCAUCAGCUUGAAACCCAAAGGACUUGGCGGUGCUUCACAUCCGUCUAGAGGAGCCUGUCCUGUAACCGAUAACCCCCGUUAAACCUCACCCUCCCUUGUUAAUCCCGCCUAUAUACCGCCGUCGUCAGCCUACCCUGUGAAGGACUAGAAGUGAGCAAGAUUGGUAAGACCCAAAACGUCAGGUCGAGGUGUAGUAUAUGAGAGGGGAAGAGAUGGGCUACAUUUCCUGAAUCAGGAAAUACGAACAAUGAACUGAAAUAAGCAUUAGAAGGUGGAUUUAGCAGUAAGCAGAGAAACAGAGUGUUCUGCUGAAAUUAAUGGCAAUAAAGCACGUACAUAUCGCCCGUCACUCUCCCCGAGCCUAACGUAUUUUCAUGUACCUAAAAAGUCACAUCUGCAAAGGGGAGGCAAGUCGUAA